UCGGCCUUCAACCUUAACCUUGCCACUGGCGUGGGCGAUGCAGAAGAAACGAAAGAGCGGGAGGAAACUGAAACUCCAAGAGGAAUAAAGAAAGCAGAAACGAAUGGAAUGAAGAUUUCAAAUUCAACUUCGGUUGUAAUCACAUUUUCUUGGAAAAUCUACAGACGCCGCUACUCAAACAAUCCAAACCUCACAACCCUUUUCAACAAGUACGUGGAUAAAACCAAUGUCUUCUCCUGGAACUCGGUCAUUGCCGAGUUGGCUCGCAGCGGCGACUCGGUUGAAGCUCUUCGGGCCUUCUCCUCCAUGCGCAAGCUCUCUCUCAAACCAAACCGCUCGACUUUUCCCUGCGCCAUCAAAUCGUGUUCGGCGUUGCUCGAUCUCCACUCCGGCAGACAGGCCCACCAGCAAGCCUUGAUUUUCGGGUUCGAACCUGAUCUUUUUGUGUCCUCCGCUCUCGUGGAUAUGUAUUCCAAGUGUGGUGAAUUGAGGGAUGCAAGAACACUGUUUGAUGAAAUUUCUCAUAGAAAUGUAGUGUCGUGGACGUCGAUGAUCACGGGCUACGUGCAAAACGAUGAUGCCCACAGGGCGUUGUUGCUUUUUAAGGAGUUUUUGGUUGAGGAGAGUGGGAGUGAAGGAGAUGGGGAAGUUUGUGUCGAUCCAAUUGCUAUGGUUUCAGUCCUAUCAGCUUGUUCUCGUGUUUCGGAGAAGAGUAUUACAGAAGGAGUUCACGGGUUUUUGAUAAAAAGAGGGUUUGAGGGGGAUUUGGGUGUUGAGAAUACUUUGAUGGAUGCAUAUGCAAAAUGCGGCGAGCUGGGUGUAUCAAGGAGGGUGUUUGAUGGGAUGGCUGAGAGGGAUGUGAUCUCUUGGAAUUCAAUCAUUGCAGUUUAUGCACAAAAUGGAAUGUCAACUGAGUCUAUGGAGAUCUUUCAUAGGAUGGUGAAGGAUGGAGAAAUCAACUACAAUGCUGUCACUUUGUCAGCUGUGUUGUUGGCCUGUGCGCAUUCAGGGUCUCAGCGACUAGGAAAGUGUAUCCAUGAUCAGGUUAUAAAGAUGGGUUUAGAAUCGAACGUAUUUGUGGGCACAUCAAUAAUUGACAUGUACUGCAAAUGUGGGAAAGUAGAGAUGGCAAGGAAAGCAUUUGAUCGCAUGAGGGAGAAGAAUGUCAAGUCAUGGAGUGCAAUGGUUGCAGGGUAUGGAAUGCAUGGCCGUGCUAAGGAAGCUUUGGAAGUUUUCUAUGAGAUGAACAUGGCUGGGGUGAAACCAAAUUACAUUACAUUUGUAUCAGUUCUAGCAGCAUGCAGUCAUGCUGGUCUGUUGGAAGAAGGAUGGCAUUGGUUUAAAGCCAUGAGCCAUGAAUUUGAUGUAGAACCAGGGGUUGAGCACUAUGGUUGCAUGGUCGAUCUUCUUGGGCGUGCUGGAUAUCUCAAAGAAGCUUUUGAUUUGAUCAAGGGUAUGAAGGUGAGACCUGAUUUUGUGGUCUGGGGUGCUCUUCUAGGUGCCUGUAGGAUGCACAAAAAUGUGGACCUUGGGGAGAUUUCUGCAAGGAAAUUAUUUGAGUUGGACCCAAAAAAUUGUGGGUACUAUGUAUUGCUCUCAAACAUAUACGCUGAUGCUGGAAGGUGGGAAGAUGUGGAGAGGAUGAGAAUCUUAAUGAAGAAUAGUGGACUGGUUAAACCACCUGGAUUCAGUUUGGUUGACAUAAAAGGUAGAGUUCAUGUAUUUUUGGUUGGAGAUAGAGAGCAUCCUCAACAUGAGAAGAUAUAUGAAUAUUUGGAGAAACUAUCUAUGAAGCUGCAAGAAGUCGGCUAUGUACCUGAUAUGACAUCAGUUCUUCAUGAUGUUGGUCAUGAAGAAAAGGAAAUGGUUCUUCGAGUUCACAGUGAGAAGUUGGCUGUUGCCUUUGGAAUCAUGAACACAGUUCCUGGAACAACAAUCCAUAUCAUUAAGAAUCUUAGGGUUUGUGGUGAUUGUCAUACUGCAAUUAAGUUUAUUUCCAAGAUUGUUGACCGGGAAAUCGUGGUCAGAGAUUCUAAGCGGUUUCAUCAUUUUAGAGAUGGAUUGUGUUCAUGUGGGGAUUAUUGGUAAUAUUUGUAAAAGCAAAAAAUUCAAUAGCAUGUUAACUGCAAGCUAGUGCUUGUUUCAUACUUGAUCAACAACGUGCCAUUGGCAGGGUAGCUAUACCAAAAGAUGGCUCCAUGGCCAUUUUUGAGUACUGAAGUCUAUUUAUAUCAGAAAAGCGUUCAAACAGGAAACAAUUCCGAUGCUCAAUUAAAUAGGUGCAGUAGGAAGAGAACAACUCUGCUAGAAGCUUGAUUUUGAAGGGAAUUGGUUAUACUAUUUUGCUUGCAAGUUUGGGUUGAGGAUGAAAAUGCAAUAAUAAGGAAAUUCAUACUGAAUGGGAAAGAGAAGAAAUACUUCUAGGUAAAGAUAGGACUUGGGCCACAAGGCUAGACAAUCUUAAAGCUAUCUGAAAUACAAAGUAGAGUGGCUUUACCAGUGGUCUUACAAACAUAUAUGCUAAAAAAGGAUAUGAAGAAAAGAAGCAUUCCUGGUGCCAAUGAUGGAGAGUCAAAUAAUGAAAAACCCCCUUUGAAGAUCUUGCAGAAAGAAGUCCUUUCAGUUUUGAUAUCUGAGAUUGGAUUUAUUUCCCACCAAUCAGUAUGCUAGAAAGGAGGAAUAAGGAGGAAUUUGCUACUUUUCCAAUCCAUGUUAAAUCAUGACGAACUUUCUCUGAAGAACUUACUGAGCACUAGUCCUUUCAGUUUUGAUAUGCGAGAUCGGUUGUGCUUCACAUCAACUUUUGAGCAUCUGAGACAACUCUGGAGGGCCCUGUUCUCACUCUUCAACCGUUCCAGCUCGAACCGAAGCUCUUUAAUGGUUUCUCUAUUUUCAUCAUUUCUUCUUAUCAACUCUGCUUGCUGCUGCAGAUUUUCUUCCAUAAGCUUCAUAACUUGAAACCUCAGUUCCAACCAUGUAUUCUCUUGCUCAGGACCACAUGCUGGGAACUCUCCAACUGCAAUCCUGCUUAAUUCAUAGCCAUCCUUCUUCCUAGGAAUAUCUCCUUUAUCAGAUAAAUCAGUGGCUGUACCUGUCAUUUUAUCUGUGUUUCCAAGCUUUUUAUCAGAAUCCAAGGGUUCAAAAUCAAGGUUAAGGUUGUCACAUUCAACAACAGAUUCAGGAUGCAAAUGGAAGGCCUCCCAUUUAGAAUAAUCAAAGCUUACAACAUUUUUGUUACCAUGGUGGACUUCUGUUGAGUUUGAAGAAGAAGAUGAAAACUCUGAGGUCUGGACAUGAGUUGAUUCGGACCACAACUGGUCAUAUUUCUCAGCUAAAUAGCGGUUCUGAGGGAGAUACUUUUCUUUCUAUUUACUACACAUUUAAUGCAGGUGCUUUGAUAUCUGUAAUGAGUCGUAUCUUCUCAAAUAGUUUGACUCUGUGUUCAUUGCUGAACGCACCCUUCGGUUUUAUUUUUCC